GAUGAACGCUGGCGGCGUGCUUAACACAUGCAAGUCGAACGAUGAAAGCGGGAGCUUGCUCCUGCUGGAUUAGUGGCGAACGGGUGAGUAACACGUGAGCAAUCUGCCCCGAACUCUGGGAUAAGCGUUGGAAACGACGUCUAAUACCGGAUACGACGCGCGAAGGCAUCUUCUGCGCGUGGAAGGAAUUUCGGUUCGGGAUGAGCUCGCGGCCUAUCAGCUAGUUGGUGAGGUAACGGCUCACCAAGGCGACGACGGGUAGCCGGCCUGAGAGGGUGACCGGCCACACUGGGACUGAGACACGGCCCAGACUCCCACGGGAGGCAGCAGUGGGGAAUAUUGCACAAUGGGCGAAAGCCUGAUGCAGCAACGCCGCGUGAGGGACGACGGCCUUCGGGUUGUAAACCUCUUUUAGUAGGGAAGAAGCGAAAGUGACGGUACCUGCAGAAAAAGCACCGGCUAACUACGUGCCAGCAGCCGCUGUAAGAC
rnacentral:rRNA from 1 species